GGGUGACAUAGCUAUUUAAGAUCAGCGACUAGGACAGUUGUAAGCAAGCGUCGAUCUUCACCACAGGAGAACUUGCAUAUGAACAGUAAGCAUAGGAUUCGAACGGAAGAUCGAACUCAAACACCAAAGUACUAUCUCUUCUGUCCACAAGGUAAAUUUUACGCGUGUACUAAAUAUUCCUAUCAAGCUUUCUUUUUCCUUAGUGAAAAUUUCCAACUAAAACUCCAAUAAUUUUCUAGUAAUCUCUAUC
rnacentral:misc_RNA from 1 species